GGCGACCGGCGCACGGGUGAGUAACACGUAUCCAACCUCCCUUUCACACGGGGAUAGCCUUUCGAAAGAAAGAUUAAUACCCGAUAGUAUGCGAGUAUCGCAUGAUACUUUCAUUAAAGUUUUCGGUGAUCGAUGGGGAUGCGUUUCAUUAGAUUGUUGGUGAGGUAACGGCUCACCAAGUCUUCGAUGAAUAGGGGUUCUGAGAGGAAGGUCCCCCACACUGGUACUGAGACACGGACCAG
rnacentral:rRNA from 1 species